rnacentral:rRNA from 1 species
AGUGAACGCUGGCGGUAGGCCUAACACAUGCAAGUCGAACGGGAGCACAGUAAGAAAUUGCUCGUACGGGUGGCGAGUGGCGGACGGGCGGGGAAGACAUUGGAACCUACUUUUUCGUGGGGGUUAACGUAGGGAAACGUACGCUAAUACCGCAUAUGACCUACAGGUGAAAAGAGGGGAACGUCGGACGUUGCGAGACUGAAUGGGCAGAUGUCGGAUUCGCUAGUUGGCGGGGGAAAGGCCGACUAAGGUCACGAGCCUUAGCUGCUCUCAGAGGAUGAUUCGCUAGCCUGGAACUGAGACUCGCCCCACACUCCGACGGGAGGCAGCAGUGGGGAAUAUUGGGCAAUGGAGGCAUGCCUGAUCCAGCCAUACCGCGUGGGUCAAGAUGGCGUGCGGCUUGUAAAGCCCUUUUGUUGUGAAAUAAAUGCAGCAGGUUAAUACCCCGCUGUUCUGACGGUACCCAAGGAAUAAGCACCGGCUAACUUCGUG